UACGGAGGGGGCUAGCGUUGUUCGGAAUUACUGGGCGUAAAGCGCACGUAGGCGGCUUUGCAAGUUAGAGGUGAAAGCCCGGGGCUCAACCCCGGAAUUGCCUUUAAAACUGCAUCGCUAGAAUUGUGGAGAGGUAAGUGGAAUUCCGAGUGUAGAGGUGAAAUUCGUAGAUAUUGAGAGGAACACCGGUGGCGAAGGCGGCCAACUGGACGAAUACUGACGCUGAGACUCGAAAGCGUGGGGAGCAAACAGG
rnacentral:rRNA from 1 species